CCUACGGGAGGCUGCAGUGAGGAAUAUUGGUCAAUGGGCGCGAGCCUGAACCAGCCAAGUCGCGUGAGGGAGGACGGCCCUACGGGUUGUAAACCUCUUUUGCCGGGGAGCAACGGGCGCCACGUGUGGCGUCACUGAGAGUACCCGGAGAAAAAGCAUCGGCUAACUCCGUGCCAGCAGCCGCGGUAAUACGGAGGAUGCGAGCGUUAUCCGGAUUUAUUGGGUUUAAAGGGUGCGUAGGCGGUUCGUUAAGUCAGUGGUCAAGUUGAGGGGCUCAACCCCUUCCCGCCAUUGAAACUGGCGUUCUUGAGUGGAAGAGAGGUAUGCGGAAUGCGUGGUGUAGCGGUGAAAUGCUUAGAUAUUGCGCAGAACUCCGAUUGCGAAGGCAGCAUACCGGCGGCGAUCUGACGCUGAGGCACGAAAGCGUGGGUAUCGAACAGGAUUAGAUACCCCUGUAGUC
rnacentral:rRNA from 1 species